rnacentral:lncRNA from 1 species
GCUGUAUGUGUACGAGGCUAAGACACCGGUGUAAUGCGAGCUUUAGCGAGCUAAUACUCCUGUUUCGAGCCGAGUACAAAUACAGCUUAACAUUUAAUGACACUAAACAGUUAUUGUCUUUAUCCUGCGUUUAAUUCUGUAUUUUGUUCGUGUUUUGAAAGACACAAAACUUCACAUUUUUUUGCAUUUAUUUUCGAUUUGAAAUCCCUUGCGUCCCGCAUAGUAAUAUUAAAAUCACAAAUUCAGCUGAAGACGGGUUGAAAAAAAAAAGAAUCUCGAAUGGUCAACAAUAAUACAUCGCUUAAGGUAAAUUAUUGUUUAUUUUAACAUAACAACUAAUUUCAGAUCUAGAUCUAGGUGAGGGCGUGCAAAUAUUAUAAUUUCACCGAGGGGA